UGAUAUACGCUCGUCUCAAAGGUUAAGCCAUGCAUGUCUAAGUACAAGCUUCCUAGAAAGUGAAACCGCAUAAGGCUCAGUAUAACAGCUAUAAUUUACAAGAUCCUCAUCCAAACAGUUACUUGGAUAACCGUGGAAAAGCCAGAGCUAAUACAUGCAUUAUGCCGGGACUCUUGGCCUCCGGGUCGGCGGAACUGGUGCACUUAUUAGUUAAACCAAUCGCCUCCGGGCGCUUUGAGUUGAAAUCUGGAUAAGGAUGCCGAUCGUACGGUCGCUUGCGACUGACGACAGACCUUUUAAAUGUCUGCCCUAUCAACUAUUGAUGGUAGUGUAGAGGACUACCAUGGUUGCGACGGGUAACGGGGAAUCAGGGUUCGAUUCCUGAGAGGGAGCCUGAGAAAUGGCUACCACAUCUAAGGAAGGCAGCAGGCGCGUAAAUUACCCAAUCCCGGCACGGGAUGGUAGUAACGAGAAAUAACAAUAUGGACCUCUCUAACGAUGGUCCAUAAUUGGAAUGAGUUGAGCAUAAAUCCUUUUGCAAGGAUCAAGUGGAGGGCAAGUCUGGUGCCAGCAGCCGCGGUAAUUCCAGCUCCACUAGCGUAUAUUA
rnacentral:rRNA from 1 species